GUUGUGAACUUGUUGUCGUCGAUGCAGUUGCAUUGUAACAAUAUUACAAACGAGGAUAAAACAUCGCGUCAUCUGACAGCGCUUGACCACGGCAAGUACAACUUGGCUGGAAUGUCACAAUAACAGAUUGCCAAUAUGUCGCU